UACGAAGGGGGCUAGCGUUGCUCGGAUUUACUGGGCGUAAAGGGCGCGUAGGCGGACAGUUAAGUUGGGGGUGAAAGCCCGGGGCUCAACCUCGGAAUUGCCUUCAAUACUGGCUGUCUUGAGUGCGGGAGAGGUGUGUGGAACUCCGAGUGUAGAGGUGAAAUUCGUAGAUAUUCGGAAGAACACCAGUGGCGAAGGCGACUUACUGGACACAUAUUGACGCUGAGGUGACGAAAGCGUGGGGAGCAAACAGG
rnacentral:rRNA from 1 species